rnacentral:rRNA from 1 species
UACGUAGGGGGCAAGCGUUUGUCCGGAUUUACUGGGCGUAAAGCGCGCGUAGGCGGAAGUGUAAGUCUGGCCUGAAAAGCCCCCCGGCUCAACCGGGGAGGGCGGCUGGAAACUGGCGAACUGGAGUGUGGCAGAGGGGGGGUGGAAUUCCGCGUGUAGCAGUGAAAAUGCGUAGAGAUGCGGAGGAACACCGAUGGCGAAGGCAGCCCCCUGGGCUAGCACUGACGCCUCAGGCACGAAAGCGUGGGGAGCAAACA